rnacentral:lncRNA from 1 species
GAUAGAAAAAAAGAGAAAAACGAAGCCCAAGAGCCCUCUAGCGUCAGGCCUGCUCUCGGCGCUUCCCCCAGCGGGUGUGCAAGGCGCCGGGGAUGGGGGAUCCACCUGCGGCGCCGGGACGGCUGUAGCCAGCGGGCGCUCCCAGCCCAGAACGCGACCACCGCGCCAGCCCCUCGGACACAGCCGCCAUCCCACAGGACAGACCCCGCCUCGGAGGUGUGGACGGUACCGGUACCGGGUGGCCGCCGCGCUCAGCUUAACCCAGCAUCCUGGCUGACGGCCUCGGCGCUGCCCGCGGGCUGUGCCCCCCGUGGGGACGGGGGAGGGAGCGGCGGCACCUGCCCCGGGGCUCCCCGCAGCGCAGGAGGGGAGGGGACCAGGCGGGCAAUGCGUCCGGUCCUCUCUGGCCUGCGGCUGCGGACGAGGCUCCAGCGCCCCGACCUCGGCUUCCCGCAGGCAGAAGGGCGCCGACAGGACCACCCGUGCCCGCAGGACGCGUCCCGCGCUCCGGGAACUAUCGGAUGUGCCACAUUAAGGGGCAGACCCCAACUUUACAGAGCAACUCCUGCAGGAGCCCAGCACAGAAGCCAUCUAGAAACUCAAGAUGCUGUGUCGACACAACAUCUGAGCACAUCCACUGGGUAUUGGGAGGACCAACAUCACAGGCCAACCACCAAACCCACUAAGCGCCUUCAUUCUUGGACCUCCUGAGUGCCUACUAUGCGCCGGAUGCUGUUCUAGGCAAGAAAGGAGGCAGACAGUAAACCAGACCCGUGAGCCGCAGGAGCAGCAGGUGGCAAGUCCCAUGGACUAUAGAGGCGAGUUCACCAGGAGGACAGACGCACCAGCCAUGAGGAACAGGGCACCACUGAGCUGACUCAUGGGCACGCCUCGUUGCUGACAGUGCCCCCACCCCUGCAGGAGGCAACCAGAGAACCUUUAAAGGCAGUUUCAUUUUAGGCUUUCCCCCUAUUUCUGGGUCAGUGUUUGUUGUUCUGUUGCUGUAGAAACACCAAAACUCCAGAUUCUUUUUGACUAAUAAAUAGAUUUCUUAUGCAUGACCA